rnacentral:rRNA from 1 species
UACGUAGGGGGCGAGCGUUAUCCAGAUUUACUGGGCGUAAAGCGCGUGUAGGCGGCUGGUUAAGUGUGAUGUGAAAUCUUCGGGCUCAACCCGAAAACUGCAUUGCAAACUGGCCUGGCUAGAGUGCAGGAGAGGGAAGCGGAAUUCCAGGUGUAGCGGUGAAAUGCGUAGAUAUCUGGAGGAACACUAGUGGCGAAGGCGGCUUCCUGGCCUGCAACUGACGCUGAGACGCGAAAGCGUGGGGAGCGAACCGG